UAAGCGGAGGAAAAGAAACUAACAAGGAUUCCCCUAGUAACGGCGAGUGAAGCGGGAAGAGCUCAAAUUUGUAAUCUGGCACCUUCGGUGUCCGAGUUGUAAUCUCGAGAAGUGUUUUCCGCGCCAGACCGCAUACAAGUCUGUUGGAAUACAGCGUCAUAGUGGUGAGAACCCCGUAUAUGAUGCGGAUGCCUGGUGCUCUGUGAUACACUUUCGAAGAGUCGAGUUGUUUGGGAAUGCAGCUCAAAUUGGGUGGUAAAUUCCAUCUAAAGCUAAAUAUUGGCGAGAGACCGAUAGCGAACAAGUACCGUGAGGGAAAGAUGAAAAGCACUUUGGAAAGAGAGUUAACAGUACGUGAAAUUGUUGGAAGGGAAACGCUUGAAGUCAGACUUGCUAUUUGGAAUUCAGCCGCAAGGUGUACUUUUCAAUUUGCAGGCCAGCAUCAGUUUUUGGGGAUGGAAAAGGAUUAGGAGAAGGUAGCAGUUUCGGCUGUGUUAUAGCUCUUAAUUGGAUUCAUCCCUGGGGACUGAGGAACGCAGCUUCGGCUUAGGAUGCUGGUGGAAUGGCUUUAAACGACCCGUCUUGAAACAC
rnacentral:rRNA from 1 species